rnacentral:lncRNA from 1 species
GUAGCUUUUCUUGGAGGUCAAUGAAACUGUCAUAACGCUCUUUGGUAAAAGUGAUGUUACGAAGGACUGCAGCUACAGCAUAAGGACGGAUUUUGACAGUCUCUUCAGUGAUAAUCAUCUUCUGACCUUCACCUUUAGCUGGUAUUAUCUUUUCAUACCUAGGGAGAUUUAUCCUUUCUUUAAAGACCUGCAGUCCUCGGACCAACCCUUCGAGGCAAAGAAGAUCAUAGCGGUUGGCAGGAACAUCAAUUUUAUAGAGAACAGUCUCAGAUGCACCCUCUGCCUUUCCUUCACCUUUCUCUUUACUUAUAAUGUCUUUCUCAGAUGUAACUUCAUCCAGCUCCAAC